rnacentral:lncRNA from 1 species
AUUAUCCAAUUUGCUGGACUGUGACAUAGAAUAUGAGGCAGCAUGUUGUAAUAGUUUGAGUGCUGGGUUAGGGUUCUUGGAGAACCAAAGCAGGUCACCAAUGACAGGGUUGCUGUAAGUCAUUGUUGACUUAAAGAGACAUAACAGUAAAACAUCUCUAAAAUCCAUUCAGCGCUUGGACAACUCCUUUAAAGUUCAUCAAAUUCUAGAGUCGAUGCAUUGCCCCACUGACAUCAGAGCCACCAUAUAGGGUAUUAUGAAGGGAUUAUUCUAAGGUGGAGUCAUGCCCUGAAGUCUAAGGUAUGUACGGUGAUUGUGCAACAUUCAACAGGUUCAAUGAAAGAUAGUCUGAAUCCAGGAAUAAAGUCAACAUGGGCUCCCUAAUUCACCCCUAUAGAGCUGCGGGUCAGGUGUAAGAAAUUCUAUAGUUCAAUUUCUUCCAGGCUUA